CCUACGGGAGGCAGCAGUAGGGAAUCUUCCACAAUGGGCGAAAGCCUGAUGGAGCAACGCCGCGUGAGUGAAGAAGUAAUUCGUUAUGUAAAGCUCUAUCAGCAGGGAAGAAAGUGACGGUACCUGAAAACGAAGCUCCGGCUAAAUACGUGCCAGCAGCCGCGGUAAUACGUAUGGAGCAAGCGUUAUCCGGAUUUACUGGGUGUAAAGGGAAAGUAGGUGGCAGAGCAAGUCCGAAGUGAAAACCCAAAGCUCAACUAUGGGAAUGCUUUAGAAACUGCUCAGCUAGAGUGCAGGAGAGGCAAGUGGAAUUCUUAGUGUAGCGGUGAAAUGCGGAGAUAUUAGGAGGAACACCAGUGGCGAAGGCGGCUUGCUGGACUGUAACUGACACUGAGGCUCGAAAGCGUGGGGAGCAAACAGGAUUAGAUACCCCUGUAGUC
rnacentral:rRNA from 1 species